rnacentral:sRNA from 1 species
UCCGGGCCCGACCGUCAUGGAGCGGUGCGGGGCCUACGCCUGUUCCGUGUGAGGCGCGUCGCUGCCGCCGCCGCCGCCGGCGCCGCCUUCGUUUGUCGAGGCCUCCGGAACCCCCGCCGCCUCCCGGAGCCCCUCGCCCUUGGCAGCCUGUCACCGCCCCCUGGGCGGGCUCGAAUGCGCGUCCGGUGAAGGUGCAGGCCCGGCGCCGCCACUGCCGCAGCCAGGAGAUGGUUCGGGCCUAGCGGAGCCGGGACUGGAGCAACAUGAACCGUGAAGACCGGAAUGUGCUGCGUAUGAAAGAACGGGAAAGGCGGAAUCAGGAAAUUCAGCAGGGCGAAGACGCCUUCCCACCUAGCUCUCCUCUCUUUGCAGAGCCAUACAAAGUUACUAGCAAAGAAGAUAAGUUAUCAAGUCGUAUUCAGAGUAUGCUUGGAAACUACGAUGAAAUGAAGGAUUUCAUAGGAGACAGAUCUAUACCAAAGCUUGUUGCAAUUCCCAAGCCUACAGUACCACCAUCAGCAGAUGAAAAAUCUAACCCAAAUUUCUUUGAGCAGAGACAUGGAGGCUCUCAUCAGAGUAGCAAAUGGACUCCAGUAGGACCUGCACCCAGCACUUCUCAGUCUCAGAAACGGUCCUCAGGCUUACAGAGUGGACAUAGUAGCCAGCGGACCAGUGCAGGUAGCAGUAGUGGCACUAACAGUAGUGGUCAGAGGCACGACCGUGAGUCAUAUAACAGUAGUGGGAGCAGUAGCCGGAAAAAAGGCCAGCAUGGAUCAGAACACUCCAAAUCACGUUCUUCCAGCCCUGGAAAACCCCAGGCUGUUUCUUCAUUAAGUUCUAGUCAUUCCAGGUCUCACGGGAAUGAUCACCAUAGCAAGGAACAUCAACGCUCCAAAUCACCUCGGGACCCUGAUGCAAACUGGGAUUCUCCUUCCCGUGUACCUUUUUCAAGUGGGCAGCACUCAACUCAAUCUUUCCCACCCUCAUUGAUGUCAAAGUCCAAUUCAAUGUUACAGAAACCCACUGCCUAUGUGCGGCCCAUGGACGGACAGGAGUCCAUGGAACCAAAGCUGUCCUCUGAGCACUACAGCAGCCAAUCCCAUGGCAACAGCAUGACUGAGCUGAAGCCCAGCAGCAAAGCACAUCUCACCAAGCUGAAAAUACCUUCCCAACCACUGGAUGCAUCAGCUUCUGGUGAUGUGAGCUGUGUGGAUGAAAUCUUAAAAGAGAUGACGCAUUCAUGGCCACCCCCUCUAACGGCUAUUCAUACACCAUGCAAAACAGAACCUUCCAAAUUUCCUUUUCCAACUAAGGAGUCUCAGCAGUCCAAUUUUGGCCCUGGAGAACAAAGGCUCAAGUGAUCCUCCUGCCUCAGCCUACUGAGUAGCUGGGACUAUGGGCACAUGCCACUAUGCCUGGCUGAUUUUUUAAAUUUUUAGUAGAGAUAGGGUCUCACUAUGUUGCCCAGGCUGGUCUCGAACUCCUGAGCUCAAGUGAUCCACCUGCCUCGCCUCCCAAAGUGCUGGGAUUACUGGUGUGAACCACCAUGCCCUCGUAUCCUAAUUUUUAUGAUCUAAUGGGUAGUAGUGGGUUGAGCUGAAAAAUUGUUAUGCUUUAAAAAAUUCAAGAACUGUAGGUCACUGGAGAUCAAAAUACACUACUUUUAUUAA